UCAAGAAUCUUCCUCAAUGGGCGAAAGCCUGAAGGAGCGACGCCGCGUGUAUGAUGAAGCUCUUCGGAGUGUAAAGUACUUUUACCAGGGAAGAACUAUGACGGUACCUGGAGAAUAAGGGGCUGCUAACUUCGUGCCAGCAGCAGCGGUAAUACGAAGGCCCCGAGCAUUAUCCGGAUUUAUUGGGUGUAAAGCGUGCGUAGGUGGUUUGGUGUAUCUUUUGUUAAAGCCCGGGGCUCAACCCUGGAACUGCGAGAGACAUAGCCAGACUAGAGACUGGAAGAGGCAAGUGGAAUUACUGGUGUAGGGGUUAAAUCCGUUAAUAUCAGUAGGAACGCCAAAUGUGAAGACAGCUUGCUAGGACAGUUCUGACACUAAGGCACGAAAGCGUGGGGAGCGAAUGGG
rnacentral:rRNA from 1 species